UACGUAGGUGGCAAGCGUUGUCCGGAUUUAUUGGGUUUAAAGGGUGCGUAGGCGGCUUUGUAAGUCAGUGGUGAAAUACUCCAGCUCAACUGGAGAGGUGCCAUUGAUACUGCAGAGCUAGAGUACUGAUGAGGUAGGCGGAAUGGACGGUGUAGCGGUGAAAUGCUUAGAUAUCGUCCAGAACACCGAUAGCGAGGGCAGCUUACUAAAGAGUAACUGACGCUGAGGCACGAAAGUGU
rnacentral:rRNA from 1 species